AGGAGCAAGAGGUGAUAUAGAAAAUGGGUUUCCAGGAUUUAUGCCUGCGAGGCGUGCAUUGCGUGUUCAUGCAGCACGUCCUAGUAAUUCCAACUCACUCACUUUUCUCGUAACAGUUCUCCUGUUAUUCAUGAUACUGAACUCCCACCAGAUGUCACCAAAUUUUCUGCUCUGGCUAGUGCUUGGUGUUUUUUUGAUGGCUACAAUGCUAAGGAUGUAUGCGACAUGUCAACAACUUCAAGCCCAG